UUAGAUAUGUGAGAAAACCGGUUGGAACUUGCCUUAACCAAGAAAAGCUACAAAAUAUUUUU
rnacentral:sRNA from 1 species